UUGUCAGGUAGGAUAAUCCUUACCUUUUCCUCUAUUCAGGAGGCAGAUAGAACAUGAUGAUUGGAAUUCACAUGAUUUGUGAUUAACAUCUCUGUGUGAUGAGGGCUCUCAACAUGCUAAUCCCUUCUGAU
ensembl:snoRNA U8 U8 small nucleolar RNA